UACGUAGGGAGCGAGCGUUGUCCGGAUUCAUUGGGCGUAAAGAGCUCGUAGGCGGCUUGGUAAGUCGGAUGUGAAACCUCCAGGCUCAACCUGGAGUCGCCAUCCGAUACUGCCAUGGCUAGAGUCCGGUAGGGGCCCACGGAAUUCCUGGUGUAGCGGUGGAAUGCGCAGAUAUCAGGAGGAACACCGGUGGCGAAGGCGGGUCUCUGGGCAGUAACUGACGCUGAGGAGCGAAAGCGUGGGGAGCGAACAGG
rnacentral:rRNA from 1 species